CUCGGUAAUGAUCCUUCCGUAGGUGAACCUGCGGAAGGAUCAUUACCGAGUGCGGGUCCUUUGGGCCCAACCUCCCAUCCGUGUCUAUUGUACCCUGUUGCUUCGGCGGGCCCGCCGCUUGUCGGCCGCCGGGGGGGCGCCUCUGCCCCCCGGGCCCGUGCCCGCCGGAGACCCCAACACGAACACUGUCUGAAAGCGUGCAGUCUGAGUUGAUUGAAUGCAAUCAGUUAAAACUUUCAACAAUGGAUCUCUUGGUUCCGGCAUCGAUGAAGAACGCAGCGAAAUGCGAUAACUAAUGUGAAUUGCAGAAUUCAGUGAAUCAUCGAGUCUUUGAACGCACAUUGCGCCCCCUGGUAUUCCGGGGGGCAUGCCUGUCCGAGCGUCAUUGCUGCCCUCAAGCCCGGCUUGUGUGUUGGGUCGCCGUCCCCCUCUCCGGGGGGACGGGCCCGAAAGGCAGCGGCGGCACCGCGUCCGAUCCUCGAGCGUAUGGGGCUUUGUCACAUGCUCUGUAGGAUUGGCCGGCGCCUGCCGACGUUUUCCAACCAUUCUUUCCAGGUUGACCUCGGAUCAGGUAGGGAUACCCGCUGAACUUAAGCAUAUCAAUAAGCGGAGGAA
rnacentral:rRNA from 1 species